UCCUGGCUUAGGACGAACGCUGGCGGCGUGCCUAAUACAUGCAAGUCGAACGGUCUUUCUAUGGAAGCUUGCUUCCACUGAGAAGAUAGUGGCGAAACGGGUGAGUAACACGUGGGUAACCUGCCCAUAAGAGGGGGAUAACAUCCGGAAACGGGUGCUAAUACCGCAUAGUUUUCUUGAUUGCAUGAUUGAGAAAGGAAAGACGGCCUUUGUGCUGUCGCUUAUGGAUGGACCCGCGGCGUAUUAGUUAGUUGGUGAGGUAACGGCUCACCAAGACGAUGAUACGUAGCCGACCUGAGAGGGUGAUCGGCCACAUUGGGACUGAGACACGGCCCAAACUCCUACGGGAGGCAGCAGUAGGGAAUCUUCCGCAAUGGACGAAAGUCUGACGGAGCAACGCCGCGUGAGUGAAGAAAGGUUUUCGGAUCGUAAAACUCUGUUGUCAGAGAAGAACAAGUUGGAGAGUAACUGCUCCAGCCUUGACGGUAUCUGACCAGAAAGCCACGGCUAACUACGUGCCAGCAGCGGC
rnacentral:rRNA from 1 species